rnacentral:tRNA from 2 species
GGAGAGGUGGCCGAGUGGUUGAAGGCGCACGCUUGGAAAGCGUGUAUACGAGCAAUCGUAUCAAGGGUUCGAAUCCCUUUCUCUCCGCCA